rnacentral:rRNA from 1 species
GACGUAAGUGGCGAGCGUUGUUCGGAAUCACUGAGCAUAAAGCGCACAUAGGCAGCCAUGUCAGUCAAGUGUGAAAGCCCUCGGCUCAACCGAGAAACUGCGUCCAAUACUGCAUGGCUUGAGAUCCAAAAAAAAGAGUGGAAUUCCCAAUGGAGCGGUGAAAUGCGUAGAGAUCGGGAAGAACGCCAACGGCGAAAGCGACUCUCUGGUCGGAUCCUGACGCUGAAGUGCGAAAGCUAGGGAAGCAAACGGG